UGACCUCGGAUCAGGUAGGAAUACCCGCUGAACUUAAGCAUAUCAUAGGCCCGGAAGGAAA
rnacentral:rRNA from 1 species